GACGAACGCUGGCGGCGUGCCUAAUACAUGCAAGUCGAGCGGACGGAUGGGAGCUUGCUCCCACACCGUCAGCGGCGGACCGGAUAGUAACCCCUGGGCAACCUUCCUGUAAGACUGGGAUAACUCCGGGAAACCGGGACUAAUACCGGAUAACUCUUUCCAUCACCUGAGGUAAAUCUUAAAGAUGGCAUCUCGCUAUCACUUACAGAUGAGCCCGCGUCGCAUUAGCUAGUUGGUGAGGUAACGGCUCACCAAGGCGACGAUGCGUAGCCGACCUGAGAGGGUGAUCGGCCACACUGGAACUGAGACACGGCCCAGACUCCUACGGGAGGCAGCAGUAGGGAAUCUUCCGCAAUGGGCGAAAGCCUGACGGAGCAACGCCGCGUGAGUGAUGAAGGUCUUCGGAUCGUAAAACUCUGUUGUCAGGGAGGAACAAGUACCGGAGUAACUGUCGGUAUCUUGACGGUACCUGACCAGAAAGCCACGGCUAACUACGUG
rnacentral:rRNA from 1 species